rnacentral:rRNA from 1 species
UUGAUCCUGGCUCAGGAUGAACGUUAGCAACAGGCUUAACACAUGCAAGUCGAGGGGCAGCGGGAUUGAAGCUUGCUUCAAUUGCCGGCGACCGGCGCACGGGUGAGUAACGCGUAUCCAACCUUCCGUACACUCAGGGAUAGCCUUUCGAAAGAAAGAUUAAUACCUGAUGGUAUGAUGAGAUUGCAUGAUAGCAUCAUUAAAGAUUUAUCGGUGUACGAUGGGGAUGCGUUCCAUUAGGUAGUAGGCGGGGUAACGGCCCACCUAGCCGACGAUGGAUAGGGGUUCUGAGAGGAAGGUCCCCCACAUUGGAACUGAGACACGGUCCAAACUCCUACGGGAGGCAGCAGUGAGGAAUAUUGGUCAAUGGACGAGAGUCUGAACCAGCCAAGUAGCGUGAAGGAUGAAGGCUCUAUGGGUCGUAAACUUCUUUUAUAUGGGAAUAAAGUUUUCCACGUGUGGAAUUUUGUAUGUACCAUAUGAAUAAGGAUCGGCUAACUCCGUGCCAGCAGCCGCGGUAAUACGGAGGAUGCGAGCGUUAUCCGGAUUUAUUGGGCGUAAAGGGCGCGCAGACGGGUCGUUAAGUCAGCUGUGAAAGUUUGGGGCUCAACCUUAAAAUUGCAGUUGAUACUGGCGUCCUUGAGUGCGGUUGAGGUGUGCGGAAUUCGUGGUGUAGCGGUGAAAUGCUUAGAUAUCACGAAGAACUCCGAUUGCGAAGGCAGCACACUAAUCCGUAACUGACGUUCAUGCUCGAAAGUGUGGGUAUCAAACAGGAUUAGAUACCCUGGUAGUCCACACGGUAAACGAUGGAUACUCGCUGUUGGCGAUAUACUGUCAGCGGCUUAGCGAAAGCGUUAAGUAUCCCACCUGGGGAGUACGCCGGCAACGGUGAAAC